UAGCUCAGUGGUAGAGCACUUCUCUGAAAAAGAAGGGGUCGUGAGUUCGAUUCUCA
rnacentral:tRNA from 1 species